GUCGAUGGGGCGGGUCUGACCCGUACCCGACCCGGUUACCCGUCACUGUUACCCGUCUCGGAUAUAAAUAAUUCACUUAUGGGCUUUAUUUAAUAAAGCCCAUUAUGUUUAAUUUAUUAAAGCCUCAUUUCAAGUUAUUUGAAACCCUAUAAGUUCAUUUAAUAAAGCCUCAAAGAAUAAGUUUAAAUCUUAUUCUUUGCAACCCUAGCCGUUGCCUCCUUCUUCCUUAUAAUUCUUUUUCUCCUCCACUCUCCUCCAUUCACAUCUCCUCCACUCUCCACCAUUAGAAUUUUUUUCCUUCUUCUUCUCCUUCACAUUUCUUUGAUUCUCCACCAUCAGAAUUUUUUCUUCUUCUUUUCCUCCACAUUUGUUUGACAUUUGCUUCACUUCCUACGGUCUGAAAUAUUAUCCUACUCCAUCGAUCAUGUCUUCCCAAGAAUCCAGCGAUUAUGUACUUUGUUUAAGUGAAGAAUCCAGUCAUUCUAGUGAAAAUGAAGCUGGAAAUGAUGUGCGUAUCGAUUUGGAUGAAUUAGAAGAUGAAUUAGAGUUGCUGGACAGCGAGGAAGUCAAUUUUAUUCCAUCAUCUACUGCUGGAAAUGUUGCACCCACUACAGUUGAGUCUAUUCCAGAAUUUCCAG
rnacentral:lncRNA from 1 species